CACGUAGGGGGGCAAGCGUUGUCCGGAUUUAUUGGGCGUAAAGAGCUCGUAGGCGGCUGAGUAAGUCGGGUGUCAAAUCUUCAGGCUCAACCUGGAGCCCCACCCGAUACUGCUCUGGCUAGAGUCCGGUAGGGGAGCGUGGAAUUCCUGGUGUAGCGGUGAAAUGCGCAGAUAUCAGGAGGAACACCAGCGGCGAAGGCGGCGCUCUGGGCCGGAACUGACGCUGAGGAGCGAAAGCGUGGGUAGCAAACAGG
rnacentral:rRNA from 1 species